rnacentral:lncRNA from 1 species
UGGCAACAGGCCCCAAAUCCAUCUACAGUAGAAGGGAAUUGGCGUUCCCUUUGUGGCUCAGUGGUUAACGAAUGCAACUAGGAUCCAUGGGGACAGGUUCGAUCCCUGGCCUCGUUCAGUGGGUUGAGGAUCCAGCACUGCCAUGAGCUGUGGUGUAGGUCGCAGAAGAGGCUCAGAUCCUGAGUUGCUGUGGCUGUGGUGUAGGCCAGCAGCUGUAGCUCUGAUUCAUCCCCUAGCCUGGGAACUUUCAUAUGCCGCAGGUUCAGCCCUAGAAAGGAAAAAAACAAAACAAAACAAAACAAAAACAGUCAAAGGGACAUGGCAUAUUCUUACAGUGAAUAUACAGCUAGAAAAAGGAACGAACUACUGACCACACUUUGGUGUCAUGGAUGAACCCCACAAUGUUGAGUGCAAAAAGUUAGACUCAAAGAUUUCAUACUGUAUUGUUACAAUUCUGGGAAGGUCAAAUGCAGGUAAAGUUCAUCUUUGGUAUUUAAAUUAGAUUUUGGUGGUGGUGGUGGUGGUGUUUAGAUGAAAUGGUUUUCAUUUUGAGACCAACCAAAUGUAUUAAGUGUAAAAAUCCUUUAAUAAACAAACCAUAGGGAGUUCCUGUCGUGGCUCAGUGGUUAACGAACCCAACUAGGAUCCAUGGAGACGUGGGUUUGAUCCCUGGCCUUGGUCAGUGGGUUAAGGAUCCGGCGUUGCCAUAAACUGUGCUGUAGGUCACAGAUGCAGCUCGGAUCUGACAUUGCUGUGGCUGUGGUGUAGGCUGGGAGCUGUAGCUCUGAUUAGACCCCUAGCCUGGGAACCUCCAUAUGCCAUGGAUGUGGCCCUAAAAAGACCAAAAAAAAAAAAAAAAAAAGAUAGUGGACUAGAAGGAUUGGGUAUACAACCAAAAGAACUGAAAACAGGGAGCCACAAUGGAAUAUUAUAUAGCCCUAAAGAGAGGGCAAUUCUGACAAACACCACAACAUGAAUGAACCUUGAGGACAUUAUGCUGAGUGAAAUAAGCCAUCACAAAAAGACAAAUAUUGUAUGAUCCCACUUACAUCAGGUUCCCAAAGUAAUCCAAUUCAUAGGGACAGAAAGAAUGGUGGCUGCCAGGGGCUGGGAGAGGGAGGAAUGGAAAGUUAUCAUUAAAUGGAUACAAAGUUUUGGUUUGGGAAGAAGAAAAAGUUUUGGGGAUGGAUGGUGGAGAUGGUUGCCCAACAACAUGAAUAUACUUAAUGCCACUGAACUGUACACUUAAAAAUGGUUAGAAUGGUAAAUUUCAUAUUAUGUAUAUUUUACCACAACUUUAAAAAAUUUCAAAAAAGGGAGUUCCCACUGCGGCUCUGUAGAAUCGAAUCUGACUAGUAUCCAUGAGGACACAGUUUUGAUCUCUGGCCUUGCUCAGUAGAUUAAGGAUCUGGCAUUGCCACGAGCUGCAGUGUAGGUCGCAGACAAGGCUUGGAUCUGGCCUUGCUGCGGCUCUGGCAUAGGCCGACAGCUACAGCUCCGAUUUGACCCCUAGCCUGGGAACC